AUGGAGGGGGAGCCGCCCGCGCAGGACCCGGCCCCCAGCGCCGCCACCGCCUCCAGCUCCGGCGGCGGCGGGGAGAAGGGCGCCCUGUGCCAGGAGUGCUUUGAGCAGCCGUGGAAGUACCGGUGCCCGGGCUGCUCCCGCCUCACCUGCAGCCUCCCCUGCGUGCAGGCCCACAAGCACCACACCGCCUGCUUCGGCAAGCGCCCCCGAACCGUCCCCCUCCCGCUCACCCAGUUCGACGGCAACCAGCUCCUCUCCGAUUACAACUUGAUGGAGGAGACGAGCCAGGUUAGGGAGUCGGUCCACAGGCUGCUCGACGGCUUCGGCCGCAACUUCGGCUGCGGCUUCGAGGGAUGCCAUGGCGCCCAGCUGCCGCCGUGGCUCUCCUUCCUCUGCAAGGCCGCGGAGCACCAGGGUGUCCGGCUCGCCGUCCAAACCUGA
rnacentral:rRNA from 1 species